UACGUAGGGUGCGAGCGUUGUCCGGAAUUAUUGGGCGUAAAGAGCUCGUAGGUGGCGGGUCACGUCGGGUGUGAAAGCCCGGGGCUUAACUCCGGGUCUGCAUUCGAUACGGGUCUGCUGGGGUCCGGCAGGGGAGACUGGAAUUCCUGGUGUAGCGGUGAAAUGCGUAGAUAUCAGGAGGAACACCGGUGGUGUAGACGGCUCUCUGGACCGUAACUGACGCUGAGGCACGAAAGCGUGGGUAGCAAACAGG
rnacentral:rRNA from 1 species